rnacentral:tRNA from 1 species
GAAAAUUUAGUUAAAUUAUAUAAUAUUAGCUUGUCAUGCUAAAGUUACCCUUUAGGUAAUUUUCU